CAGGUAGUUGGCGGGGUAACGGCCCACCAAGCCAACGAUCAGUAACUGGUGUGAGAGCACGACCAGUCACACGGGCACUGAGACACGGGCCCGACUCCUACGGGAGGCAGCAGUAAGGAAUAUUGGUCAAUGGACGCAAGUCUGAACCAGCCAUGCCGCGUGGAGGAUGAAGUCCCUUGGGACGUAAACUCCUUUCGACCGGGAAGAUACUGACGGUACCGGAAGAAGAAGCACCGGCUAACUCUGUGCCAGCAGCCGCGGUAAUACAGAGGGUGCGAGCGUUGUUCGGAAUUAUUGGGCGUAAAGGGCGCGUAGGCGGCGCGGUAUGUCACCUGUGAAAUCUCCUGGCUCAACUGGGAGCUUGCAGGCGAAACUGCCGUGCUGGAGUGUGGGAGAGGUGCGUGGAAUUCCUGGUGUAGCGGUGAAAUGCGUAGAUAUCAGAGGAACACCUGUGGCGAAAGCGGCGCACUGGACCACAACUGACGCUGAGGCGCGAAAGCUAGGGGAGCAAACAGGAUUAGAUACCC
rnacentral:rRNA from 1 species